GCUCAGAGCGAACGCUUGGCGGUAUGCUUAACACAUGCAAGUCGAGCGAGAAAAUGACUUCGGUCAUGAGUACAGCGGCGGACGGGUGAGUAAUACAUGGAUANUCUGCCUUUAGGACCGGGACAACCCAGGGAAACUUGAGCUAAUACCGGAUAAGACCACAGAAUCUUCGGAUUCAGCGGUAAAAGAUGGCUUCGGCUAUCACCUAUUGAUGAGUCCAUGUCCCAUCAGGUAGUUGGUGAGGUAAAGGCCCACCAAGCCUAAGACGGGUAGCCGACCUUAGCGGGUGAUCGGCCACACGGGGACUGAGACACGGCCCCGACUCCUACGGGAGGCAGCAGUGGGGAAUAUUGGACAAUGGGCGCAAGCCUGAUCCAGCAAUACCGCGUGAGGGAUGAAGGCCUUCGGGUCGUAAACCUCUGUCAGUUGGAACGAUGGGUUUAAAGGUUAAUACCCUUUAGACUUGACGGUACCUUCAAAGGAAGCCCCGGCUAACUCCGUGCCAGCAGCCGCGGUAAUACGGAGGGGGCAAGCGUUGCUCGGAAUUACUGGGCGUAAAGGGUCCGCAGGUGGCUUUGUAAGUUAGAUGUGAAAUCUCAGGGCUCAACCCUGAAACUGCAUCUAAAACUGCAUAGCUUGAGUACAGGAGAGGUUGGCGGAAUUCCCGGUGUAGCGGUGAAAUGCGUANAUAUCGGGAGGAACACCAGUGGCGAAGGCGGCCCAACUGGCCUGUUA
rnacentral:rRNA from 1 species